rnacentral:lncRNA from 1 species
UAACCUACAAAGCCUUUACAGCAUGCCUUUACAGCCGUGUUUCCAGUGCAGCCUGCAGCCUGUGCACCACUGCGACCCCUGCGUCACUGUAUGACCCAAGCACCUUUACCCAAACUCGUCCCUUUGUCUUCUGUGACCAAGCCAGGAUCAAACCAACAGCUGCAAUAGAAAUCACCCACAGUGUUUAGAUCAUGAACAACGCUGAAUCGUGAGCAAGCUAGGUGCUGAGAUAGAGGAGGGAAGCUUGUCAGCUUGCAGCGAUCUGUCACUCCAUCUCCUGGCCAAGAGUUCCCUUCCGGAGUCGCCUGCAAGCCACACACACAUAAAGAAGGAGCAGGAUAUCCCUGUGGAUAGAAGCGGUCCUGUUCAAGCUGCAAUGCCAAGGAGAUAGUGCUGGGAUGGUGCUCCGCAUUCUGGACCCACAGCGCUGCCUGUCCUGACAGCAGCUUUCAGCUUGGGGUGAGGACUGUGCCGAGGUGCCCCGCUAGUCUGCAGGAGCACAGUGGCUUUUGCACACAUCCUGCAUGGCAAUCCUCCGAAAACUCACCCCUGCGAGCCACGAUAGUCGCCCUGGCAAACGCAGUCGAGGAGCUUCACUCACCAGCCGAGGAAAGGGUCAAAACUCCUGUGAGCACCUUACACAGAAACUGCAAACGUGGACAGCUUGCAGACAGAUUAAGAGACCUGCAGAAGUGGAGUCCACUCUUCUUCCGCAGCUGGCCAAGCCGGGGGCAGGACAACAUCGGAGGACCUUGCCUGUAACUCUCAUCUCAGUGCUGCAUUACAAAAAGACUCCUCCAGGAACCCCAUCGUUCUGCUUUCAAGCUUUACACUGGGGCAUGUUGGAAGCCAACCAAAAUGAUUGCAGAUGUGGUAUUUUUGUCCAGCCCUGUCCAAGAGCAGAGUCUUUCUUGAAAUGA